ensembl:lncRNA
UCUUUUGCGCCCUCUGGUGGUGAAUUGUGUAGGGUACAGUUUUGCUGUUUGGGUCUCCACCCAGACACUUUUUCUUUUGCUAGCGCACAUGGUGUCUGCAUGCUGCAGUUCACAGUUAGCUCCACACAUGGAGAAAAUAUCAUUCAAAGAGUGGAAAUAAUUGAGAAAGAAGAUAGAGGAUAAGGCAAUAAGGCCAUAAAGGACUAUUUAGCACCUCCUGGAUGACAGCUCACGAGCUAAACACCAGAUUACCAGUUGCAACUUUCCCGCCAUAGAACCCCCAGACAGUCUCACGGUUUUGCUCACUCCACACACCUGCCUGCCUCCCUGCCUCAACGUCAGGAAUUUCGGCUCACGUACCACUCACCCGGACCACUCUCCCCUCUAUGCUACCGAUCCACCCACGACAAUGACUCUGACCCCUUUCCCAGGACCCAGCCAUCCAGUUUGACCCUCCCUUUGGCCCAAACCACAGAACUGCAGUUUCCACCAUUGAGAAAUCACUGAUUGUUUACAUAGCUCAGGUCGCAUAAGUGCCCCUUAGUUUUGGUGUUUGUUCCUAGCACUAGUUAAACACACGACUCAGUUUUCUGGUUUUGUUCAUUUACACUUGU